rnacentral:snoRNA from 1 species
AGGAGGCGAUGAUGAGAAAAGUCAUGCACCACUCUGAAAGAGAUUUAUCUCUUUUGUGCUGAUAAACAAACUUACAACCCAUUUUACAUCUGAGCCG